AUAACUAAAUGGAUACUUCAGAACUGAUGGUAUUGAAACCCCACCAGGCAGAAGAAAGUUAACUACAGGACUGUAGCCAUGACAUAAGUUGCUCCAUGACAAUUUUGGAACUUGUCUCAAGGAAAUGGGAAUAAACUGAUCCUGGAACUGCAAAAUAACUGUAUUAAAACAAUCAAGAUGAUGCUGAUCAGACUAUCACAUGGUCAAUUUCAAAAUGAUUUUCAGAGCUGACUGUGCUGCUUUGCAUAUAACCCCCUCUUCCCACACAUACAACCCUGAAAAUCCUCCUUUGGAAAGCUCUUGCUCCCUGAUCAGCAACUGGGAGUUGUUUUUGGACAUGAGUACAACUUCUCCCUAGGUUGUUGGCUUCCUGAAUAAAGCAAGCUUUCUUUUCACACC
rnacentral:lncRNA from 1 species